AGAACGAACGCUGGCGGCGUGGCUAAGGCAUGCAAGUCGAACGGACGUAUGGAAUAGGUAACUUGAACAUACGUUAGUGGCGAACGGGUGAGGAAUGCAUGGAUAACGUACCCCGGACUCGGGCAUAGCGGCGGAACCUUCGGGUUCCUUUGCGAAAGCGCCGGUAAUUCCCGAUAACCCCGCUGGAUCGCAUGGUCCGACGGGCAAAGCUUUUGCGGUUUGGGAGCGGUUCAUGUCUUAUCAGCUUGUUGGUGAGGUAACGGCUCACCAAGGCGACGACGGGUAUUGGGCGUGAGAGCGUGGCCCGACACAUCGGGACUGAGACACGGCCCGGACACCUACGGGUGGCUGCAGCAACGAAUAUUCCGCAAUGGACGAAAGUCUGACGGAGCGACGCCGCGUGCAGGAAGAAGUCCUUCGGGAUGUAAACUGCUGUCAGGGGUUAGGAAUACUGACCAGCCCCAAAGGAAGCACUGGCUAACUCCGUGCCAGCAGCCGCGGUAAUACGGAGAGUGCGAGCGUUGUUCGGAAUUACUGGGCUUAAAGCGCGUGUAGGCGGGGUGCCAGGUGUCGUGUGAAAGCCCCGGGCUCAACCCGGGAAUGGCACGGCAAACCGGCGCUCUUGAGGCAGGGAGAGGUGACUGGAACGACUGGUGGAGCGGUGAAAUGCGUAGAUAUCAGUUGGAACGCCGGAGGCGAAAGCGGGUCACUGGACCUGUUCUGACGCUGAGACGCGAAAGCGUGGGUAGCGAACAGGAUUAGAUACCCUGGUAGUCCACGCCGUAAACGAUGCGCACUAGGUAUGAGAGGUUCUGACGCCGAUCGUGCCGAAGCAAAAGUGAUAAGUGCGCCGCCUGGGGAGUACGGCCGCAAGGCUA
rnacentral:rRNA from 1 species